rnacentral:rRNA from 1 species
AGGAUGAACGCUAGCGGCAGGCUUAAUACAUGCAAGUCGUGGGGCAGCAUGACUGUAGCAAUACAGUUGAUGGCGACCGGCAAACGGGUGCGGAACACGUACACAACCUUCCUUCGAGUGGGGAAUAGCCCGGGGAAACCCGGAUUAAUACCCCGUAACAUAAUGAAGUGGCAUCACUUUAUUAUUAUAGCUCCGGCGCUUGAAGAUGGGUGUGCGACUGAUUAGGCAGUUGGCGGGGUAACGGCCCACCAAACCUACGAUCAGUAACUGGUGUGAGAGCACGACCAGUCACACGGGCACUGAGACACGGGCCCGACUCCUACGGGAGGCAGCAGUAAGGAAUAUUGGUCAAUGGACGCAAGUCUGAACCAGCCAUGCCGCGUGGAGGAUGAAGGUCCUCUGGAUUGUAAACUUCUUUUAUCUGGGAAGAAAUGCAUUUUUUCUAGAAUGUUUGACGGUACCAGGUGAAUAAGCACCGGCUAACUCCGUGCCAGCAGCCGCGGUAAUACGGAGGGUGCAAGCGUUAUCCGGAUUCACUGGGCUUAAAGGGUGCGUAGGUGGGUUGGUAAGUCAGUGGUGAAAUCUCCAGGCUUAACUUGGAAACUGCCAUUGAUACUAUCAAUCUUGAAUACCGUG